rnacentral:rRNA from 1 species
ACCUACGGGGGGCAGCAGUAGGGAAUUUUCGUCAAUGGGCGCAAGCCUGAACGAGCAAUGCCGCGUGAACGAGGAAGGUCUUCGGAUCGUAAAGUUCUGUUGGAGGGGAAAAAGAGCGGAGAGAGGAAAUGGUCUCCGAUUGAUAUUACCCUUCGAGGAAGUCACGGCUAACUACGUGCCAGCAGCCGCGGUAAUACGUAGGUGGCGAGCGUUAUCCGGAAUGAUUGGGCGUAAAGGGUGCGUAGGCGGCCUGCUAAGUCUGGAGUGAAAGGUACCGGCUCAACCGGUACAGGCUCUGGAAACUG